AACAGGGAUUGCCCUAGUAACGGCGAGUGAAGCGGCAACAGCUCAAAUUUGAAAUCUGGCUCUUUUAGAGUCCGAGUUGUAAUUUGCAGAGGGCGCUUUGGCUUUGGCAGCGGUCCAAGUUCCUUGGAACAGGACGUCACAGAGGGUGAGAAUCCCGUACGUGGUCGCUGGCUAUUGCCGUGUAAAGCCCCUUCGACGAGUCGAGUUGUUUGGGAAUGCAGCUCUAAAUGGGAGGUACAUUUCUUCUAAAGCUAAAUAUUGGCCAGAGACCGAUAGCGCACAAGUAGAGUGAUCGAAAGAUGAAAAGCACUUUGGAAAGAGAGUCAAACAGCACGUGAAAUUGUUGAAAGGGAAGCGCUUGCAGCCAGACUUGCUUACAGUUGCUCAUCCGGGUUUCUACCCGGUGCACUCUUCUGUAGGCAGGCCAGCAUCAGUUUGGGCGGUAGGAUAAAGGUCUCUGUCACGUACCUCCUUUCGGGGAGGCCUUAUAGGGGAGACGACAUACUACCAGCCUGGACUGAGGUCCGCGCAUCUGCUAGGAUGCUGGCGUAAUGGCUGUAAGCGGCCCGUCUUGAAACACGGACCAAGGAGUCUAACAUCUAUGCGAGUGUUUGGGUGUCAAGCCCGAGCGCGUAAUGAAAGUGAACGGAGGUGGGAACCCGCAAGGGUGCACCAUCGACCGAUCCUGAUGUCUUCGGAAGGAUUUGAGUAAGAGCAUGGCUGUUGGGACCCGAAAGAUGGUGAACUAUGCUUGAAUAGGGUGAAGCCAGAGGAAACUCUGGUGGAGGCUCGCAGCGGUUCUGACGUGCAAAUCGAUCGUCAAAUUUGGCAUAGGGGC
rnacentral:rRNA from 1 species